rnacentral:rRNA from 1 species
AUUGAACGCUGGCGGCAGGCUUAACACAUGCAAGUCGAGCGGAGUGAUGGUGCUUGCACUAUCACUUAGCGGCGGACGGGUGAGUAAUGCUUAGGAAUCUGCCUAUUAGUGGGGGACAACAUCUCGAAAGGGAUGCUAAUACCGCAUACGUCCUACGGGAGAAAGCAGGGGAUCUUUAUGACCUUGCGCUAAUAGAUGAGCCUAAGUCGGAUUAGCUAGUUGGUGGGGUAAAGGCCUACCAAGGCGACGAUCUGUAGCGGGUCUGAGAGGAUGAUCCGCCACACUGGGACUGAGACACGGCCCAGACUCCUACGGGAGGCAGCAGUGGGGAAUAUUGGACAAUGGGGGGAACCCUGAUCCAGCCAUGCCGCGUGUGUGAAGAAGGCCUUAUGGUUGUAAAGCACUUUAAGCGAGGAGGAGGCUCUUUUGGUUAAUACCCAGAAUGAGUGGACGUUACUCGCAGAAUAAGCACCGGCUAACUCUGUGCCAGCAGCCGCCGUAA